rnacentral:rRNA from 1 species
UAUAAGACUGGGAUAACUUCGGGAAACCGGAGCUAAUACCGGAUAAGAUUUUGAACCGCAUGGUUCAAUAGUGAAAGACGGCCUUGCUGUCACUUAUAGAUGGAUCCGCGCCGUAUUAGCUAGUUGGUAAGGUAACGGCUUACCAAGGCAACGAUACGUAGCCGACCUGAGAGGGUGAUCGGCCACACUGGAACUGAGACACGGUCCAGACUCCUACGGGAGGCAGCAGUAGGGAAUCUUCCGCAAUGGGCGAAAGCCUGACGGAGCAACGCCGCGUGAGUGAUGAAGGUCUUCGGAUCGUAAAACUCUGUUAUCAGGGAAGAACAAACGUGUAAGUAACUGUGCACGUCUUGACGGUACCUGAUCAGAAAGCCACGGCUAACUACGUGCCAGCAGCCGCGGUAAUACGUAGGUGGCAAGCGUUAUCCGGAAUUAUUGGGCGUAAAGCGCGCGUAGGCGGUUUUUUAAGUCUGAUGUGAAAGCCCACGGCUCAACCGUGGAGGGUCAUUGGAAACUGGAAAACUUGAGUGCAGAAGAGGAAAGUGGAAUUCCAUGUGUAGCGGUGAAAUGCGCAGAGAUAUGGAGGAACACCAGUGGCGAAGGCGACUUUCUGGUCUGUAACUGACGCUGAUGUGCGAAAGCGUGGGGAUCAAACAGGAUUAGAUACCCUGGUAGUCCACGCCGUAAACGAUGAGUGCUAAGUGUUAGGGGGUUUCCGCCCCUUAGUGCUGCAGCUAACGCAUUAAGCACUCCGCCUGGGGAGUACGACCGCAAGGUUGAAACUCAAAG